UUGCAUCCAAUGCCGAUGUGACAGGCAUCUUGAAAUAUAGGCGGCGUGUACUACAAUGUAUCACUACGGUGCGCUAGAAUGUUGACCACGACCCACAGCCACGACCACAGCGGGUGUGAGGAAGAAGAGGAAGAAGAACGCCUUUCACCAUAGCAUCACGUCCUGGGUCUCACAGCUGCACGCUCGUUCGUUUUCGGAGUUUUCAGACUCUGUUUCCACCGCUACACAGAAUGAAGUCCAUACUUCCAGCUCUGCCCAUGCCCAAUCCUGUGUACCAGUACCCUCCUUACCCUCCUCAUGAAGACAGCCACGGAAGCAACGUGUACUUUCCUCCACCACUCCCACCAGGAGCUUUCAACUUUGGACAGGAACCGCAUCCUCCAGCACCUCCUCCCGUUUUGGGACAUGCAACAGUCCAAAUGCCACAGCCUGCACCUCCCUUAGCAACAGGUAACAGAGCCAAAGAACGAGCAUUGACGCCGUCUUCGAAUGUCACCACCAAGGGUGCCGGUCGAACUCAGAUGGCGAUGUUCUAUUGCUGCAUUGGGGCCUCCAUAACAGUUGUGACUAUCGUCCUUUUAAUGUACUUUAUCUUCACGGCGGAGCCUAGGACAAGUACGAUGCUAGGCGGCGUGUACAAGGUUGCCAUGAGGGCUAAUGAAGGCGACAACGCAGACGCAGAAACUGAAGAUGAGAUAAGCACGGUAGAACCGGCACGGACGACGACGCUGAGUAACGCGAUUGGACAUCGAAUAGCGUGUAUCGGCACUGGGCGUUCGACUAGUGAAAAUUCCACUUUGUCGCUAGUGGACAUGGAAGUUUGAUAUGCGACCAUUACUGUGCUCAACCAGGGGCGGAUCCAGACCCUCAAGUGGGGGGGAGGGGGCGAUCGCUCCCCCUGGACUCUCUUCUGUGCUCAACGAGGCCUUUGUAAGUGCCGGCUGAUACAUUUUCGUGUUUCAUAAUAUAGUCGCCAUUUAUAUAGUCAAGGUGCCUUUUUUUUUUCACAUGCGUGAUGUGUCGUUAUUGCCAAUGGAUGUACAGCCCUAGUUGGUACAUGUCUGUAUAGUCUGAGCAUAAAGGCGGACAACGUGAAGGACGGAAAACGCGCGCAACACAUACGGGCUCCUGCUAACAACUAACGUUUAUUGCUUCGGUAAGAGACGAAGGAAAACAUGCGCGGGGUUCCACCGCGUGCAUCUUCCAUCGUCUCUUGCCGAAACAAUAGACGUUAGUUUUUACUUUGAACCCGUAUGUGCUGCGCGUGUUUUCCGUCCUUCACGUUGUCCGCGUUUUCUAUGCUCCGAUUUUACAGGUAUCGUUAUUGUUUUUCGCACGGAGAACUGGAAUAAAAUUUUCCUGCCAUAGCCUC